rnacentral:lncRNA from 10 species
CUGAUGUAACAGCCUUGGGAAAGAGGUUGCAGUGAAAAGCUGGUCCUGCUGUGGUGGAGAGAAUGGAGGAAAGAUAAUAAAAGGCCAAACCUUUGCUCCAACUUUCUCCUUAGCUUCCCUUUGGAUCUGGAAAGCUGGGGACCCACACGGCAGAGCCAUGGUACUGGAGGAGCCAUUAACAAAGCUUUCAAUAAACCUCUCUUUCUUGAAGUUACCUGAGAAUGGAUCCAUUCCCUGCAACUGAAGAUUCUAAGGAACUGGGUUUCUCAGUAUACAAUGGGAAUGGUUGGGAGGAGGUAAAGAGUAGAAGACAGUAUCAAGAAUCCAGAGCCCAGCACCUGUAGUCCUAACUAUUCAGAUUCCUUGAGCCCAGGAGUUUGAGUCCAGCCUGGACAACAUAUUGAGACCCCCAUCUCUCUAAAAAAAAAGAGAAAGAAAGAAGGAAAGAAAAAAAGAAAGAAAGAAAGAAAGAAAGAAAGAAAGAAAGAAAGAAAGAAAGAGAAAGAAAGAAGGAAAGAAGGAAAGAAGGAAAGAAAGAAAGAAAGAGAAAGAAAGAAAAGAAGAUUGUAGCUAGGGGGAGAGUAGGUGAAAAGAUGAACAACAUGACCGGGAAGAUUUCCUAAUCUCACCACAGCCUGGCUCUACCUUAAGUCUUUAAUAAAAGCUUGACUGAAGGUACCAAGGUGUGCUGAAGUGGAAGCAAAGUUCUCCAAAGUCCAGCAUGGUAGACAUCAGUGGUGGUAACCAAGGACAGACCCCAAGGCAAGGUGAACCUCAAAAAUGGAACCUCAAGUCUAUGCAGUCCAGCUGCCCUCCCCACCAGAAAGUCCUUGUUCCAGCCCAACAUCAGUGCCUCUGAGUUUGUUUACUAGAAACAAAGGAAGAAUUUCCUUGUAAAAAUAUAGACAGAGUAGUCCCUGGCUUUCUCCUCUUGCAGGAAGGAUGGAUUCUCCCAUUCCAUACCAUCUUUCCCCCACACUGGCCCCAGAAAUACUUAAUUCAACUAUGUGAAAAUAAAGAUUGUUUUUGGUUUGAGGGCAUAGGGAUCCAUUUAUCCUUAUUCUUUAUGAGGCACUAAAUUAGCUUUGUAUGUUAUUAAAUGUGUCUCGUCAAUGCUGUUGGCAUUGUUUCAUUUUAA